UACAGAGGGUGCGAGCGUUAAUCGGAAUUACUGGGCGUAAAGCGCGCGUAGGCGGCUUUGCAAGUCGGGGGUGAAAUCCCCAGGCUUAACCUGGGAACUGCAUUCGAGACUGCAUUGCUAGAGUAUGGGAGAGGGAAGUGGAAUUUCCGGUGUAGCGGUGAAAUGCGUAGAUAUCGGAAGGAACAUCAGUGGCGAAAGCGACUUCCUGGACCAAUACUGACGCUCAUGUGCGAAAGCGUGGGGAGCAAACAGG
rnacentral:rRNA from 1 species